rnacentral:rRNA from 1 species
UGGGGAAUUUUGGACAAUGGGCGAAAGCCUGAUCCAGCAAUGCCGCGUGUGUGAAGAAGGCCUUCGGGUUGUAAAGCACUUUUGUCCGGAAAGAAAUCCUCUGGGUUAAUACCUCGGGGGGAUGACGGUACCGGAAGAAUAAGCACCGGCUAACUACGUGCCAGCAGCCGCGGUAAUACGUAGGGUGCAAGCGUUAAUCGGAAUUACUGGGCGUAAAGCGUGCGCAGGCGGUUUUGUAAGACGGAUGUGAAAAUCCCCGGGCUUAACCUGGGAACUGCAUUCGUGACUGCAAGGCUAGAGUAUGGCAGAGGGGGGUAGAAUUCCACGUGUAGCAGUGAAAUGCGUAGGAUGUGGAGGAAUACCGAUGGCGAAGGCAGCCCCUGGGCCAAUACUGACGCUCAUGCACGAAAAGCGUGGGGAGCAAAACAGGAUUAGAUACCCUGGUAGUCCACGCCCUAAAACGAUGUCAACUAGUUGUUGGGGAUUCAUUUCCUUAGUAAACGUAGCU